GACGAACGUUGGCGGCGUGCUUAAUACGUGCAAGUCAACUGAAGCAGUGGUAGCAAUAUCGCUGUGGAGGUGGCGCACGGGUGAGUAACACGUAGGUAAUCUGCCUUCAGGUCUGGCAUAACUCCGGGAAACCGGGGCUAAUAGCAGAUGAUGCAGCGGCUCGACAUCGAGACAGUUGUUAAAGCUAUGGCGCCUGAAGAUGAGCCUGCGCCUGAUUAGCUAGUUGGCGGGGUAACGGCCCACCAAGGCAACGAUCAGUAGCUGGUCUGAGAGGAUGAUCAGCCACACUGGAACUGAGACACGGUCCAGACUCCUACGGGAGGCAGCAGUAAGGAAUAUUGCUCAAUGGGAGAAAUCCUGAAGCAGCAACGCCGCGUGAGGGACGAAGGGCUUUUGCUUGUAAACCUCUGUAGUGAGAGAAAAAAAUCCCAAUCUUUGGGACAUGAUGGUAUCUCAAAAGUAAGCCCCGGCUAACUACGUG
rnacentral:rRNA from 1 species